rnacentral:rRNA from 1 species
AUGGAGACGGCGGGCCGAGGACCAGGAGGGCAGCAGUCGACGGGGGCGGAGGUCGGGUGGGCCCGGUCGUGGGCGUGCUGCGCCGUGGCGGCGUGCGUGGUGGCGGUGGGGCUAGCAGGCGCCGGCGUGCUGGUGUGGUGGGCGGUGGCGUUCCACCCGGCGCGGGAGCAGCUCUGGAUGGUGCCCGUCGGGCUCGUCCUCCUCGGCACGCCGCUCAUCGCCUGGCUCUCCCUCUUCGCCUCCGGCGCACGCCGC